GCGUUAAACUCAGCACGAGCAGCUUCAAUCUCAGCAUCCUUCUCAACAAGCUUCGCCUCCAUUGUUUAUUUGAUUUCGAGCCUCACCGAGUUCUCAGCCAACACCUCCUUCAACGUCUUCUCAAACCUACACUUAUAGAAAGGCAAUUGAAGUAUUUCCUGAACUUCAUUGUCAUUAGUCUCAAUGCACAAAAUCCAUAAUCGCAUUUCAUUUCUUCUCCAAAGUAAGCGAAAAAAUCUUUUGACUCAUCGGGACGGUGUAACUUUAACAACAUAUUCUCUUUGGAAUUUCUUGAAGACCUUUUCACAAAGAGAAGGAAGUGAGGGACACAUACAUUGGUAGGAUGGUGAGUUGUUUGACCACAAACUACACGAUUUAUAUAGGCUAAAAAUAGCCGUUGGAUCGAUUCUACAUUGUACUGCACGUCGUAGGAUGUGCGACGCAUUGUAGGUUGAUCCAACGGUUAUAUUCAAACGGUCAUGUAACGACCGUUUGAAUAUAGCCGUUGGAUAUGCACCAUAUAGUGCAACGCGUAUCCUGGAACGGGCGGCGCAUCCUACGGUGCGCGAUGCGUUGUAGGAGGCUGUAAUGGCCAUUUCGUGUAAUUAAGGUUCCACUUGAUUGUCUACGUAAUUUCCGAUUAAAUUGUACCUACAAAAAAAUGUUCCUAAACUGAUUUAUACUACUUAGAGCUCUUCAACUCAUUUAUUCUAACUAUCUCCUACGAAAUUUUUGUUUUUUAAUAUUUUUCAUCAUUUUUUUCCGAGACUAGGUUUUUCACAUCUACCUCCUUUUUUUUUGAAUUUUGAAUUUUUUUCCUUUCCUCUUUUUUUUUCUCAAACUAAAACUGUACAGAAAAUUAAAACUGAGUGAAAUAAAUAAUCCUGCAUUUACUCAAGCUUAGUAACUUUAGAUUUUUCUAGACUCAAACGAGUUACAUGCCACUAAUAUACACAAUGAAAAAAACUGAAUGCUUAAAAGAAAGGGGAUAUGGUAUAAUGAGGGGGCAAAAAUGCUAUUUUGAGAUUUUAUAAGGGGUAAAAGGGGCAAGAUGGAGAUUUUAGUGGUGGAGCUUUUCUAAAGGCCUCUAUCAUUUUGAUGUGUUGCUACAUAGCGAGUUCAAUCCGUUAUCAUGCAAGCAUUAAAUUAACAACCAACACCACUCAAAAUAAUUUAAGAAUAAGUCUACUAGUGAAGCAUAAUAAUUUUACUAUAAAUGGUGUUAAAAAAAAAAAUAAGUCUACUAGUGAAGCAUAAUAAUUUUACUAUAAAUGGUGUUUAAGGCCUCGCAAUUGUGUUGCUAGAUGGUAUAUUGCUAAUAUGCAUGUCUGUUAACAUCAAGUUGGAUAUUGUGUGUUACUAAGAAAAAAUCAAAGCACCUCUAAAAACAAAUUAUUAGACUUUGAACACUGGCAUAAUUUCCUAUCAAAUCUAAGUUCAGAAAGCAAACAAGUAGUUCAAGUCAACAAAUCAUUCGGAAGUUCACUAAGCAUGCCAAGCAAUUUUUUCAAAAGUGCUUCUAAAACAACUUGAGUUUAGGAUUCAACAUCAGAAAAAAUGACCAAAAAAACUAUCUAAUAGGUUUUCUAUACACACCUACCCCACACAGAAGUUAAACAACGUCCUUACUAGUCUGAAUAAGAAAGUGUUAUAGGUAUACUUGAAAGUUGUGAGAUACCGGUGAGGCAAGAUAACACGAUCCAAAGGAAGCUUGAACUUGACGAUGAUACUAACUCCUGAAAAUGACUGAAAACACAUAAAAAUCAAAAAUAAAAGUAAAAAGGAAUAAAGACAAGUGUCCAAUCAAAGCUGCACAUAGAAAAAUGUGGAUUUAAGAUCCAAAAAUAAAGAAAAGAAAAACCUUAAGGAAAGAUGGUACCUGGAUUACUAGUCCUCUCGCGGAGGCGAGUCUAGAGGGU
rnacentral:lncRNA from 1 species